rnacentral:rRNA from 1 species
UACAGAGGUGGCAAGCGUUGUUCGGAAUUACUGGGCGUAAAGGGCGCGUAGGCGGCCGCCUAAGUCAGACGUGAAAUCCCCAAGCUUAACUUGGGAACUGCGUCUGAUACUGGGUGGCUUGAGUUCGGGAGAGGAAUGUGGAAUUCCAGGUGUAGCGGCGAAAUGCGUAGAUAUCUGGAGGAACACCGGUGGCGAAGGCGGCAUUCUGGACCGAAACUGACGCUGAGGCGCGAAAGCCAGGGGAGCAAACGGG